rnacentral:rRNA from 1 species
AUAUCAAUAAGCGGAGGAAAAGAAACCAACAGGGAUUGCCCUAGUAACGGCGAGUGAAGCGGCAACAGCGCAGAUUUGAAAGCAGUUCUCAUAUCUCUAUAUGUCUGCAUUGUAUUCUGGAGAGGAUGUUUCGGGUCAAGCCACUCCCCUAAGUCCCAUGGAAUUGGGCGCCAAGGAGGGUGAGAGCCCCGUGUGGAGAGUGUCUAGCCUGUGUGAAACUCCUUCAACGAGUCGGGUAGUUUGGGAAUGCUGCCCUAAGCGGGAGGUAAAUUCCUUCUAACGCUAAAUAUCUGCCAGAGACCGAUAGCGCACAAGUAGAGUGAUCGAAAGAUGAAAAGUACCUUGAAAAGAGGGUCAAAUAGUACGUGAAAUUGCUGAAGGGGAAGCGCCUGCGGCCAGACACUACCUGGGGAGUUUCGUCAAUGUUUACACUGACAUAUUCUCCUCGGUGUAGGGUCAGCAUCAGCUUUUCUGGGGGAAUAAUCGGGAGGAGAAUGUGGCCCUUUGGGGUGUUAUAGCUCCCUCUGAAAGCCCCCGGGGAGGCUGAGGAAAGCCUUUUGAAGGAUGCUGGCAUAAUGGCCGCCGGCGACCCGUCUUGAAACACGGACCAAGGAGUCGAGGUUCUGCGCGAGUGUUAGGGUGUCAAACCCCUGACGCGCAGUGAAAGCGAACGCUGGGGGGAGCUUCGGCGCACCCCCGACCGAUCCUGAUGUUCUCGGAUGGAUUUGAGUAAGAGCGUAGGGCCUCGGACCCGAAAGAUGGCGAACUACAGUUGGCUAGGGUGAAGCCAGAGGAAACUCUGGUGGAGGCUCGCAGCGGUUCUGACGUGCAAAUCGAUCGUCAAAGCAGACUGUAGGGGCGAAAGACUUAUCGAGCCGUCUAGUAGCUGGUUACCGCCGAAGUUUCCCUCAGGAUAGCAGUGUCGGCGCGUAGUCUUAUGAGGUAAAGCGAAUGAUUAGGGACUCGGGGGCGCUAUUUAGCCUUCAUCCAUUCUCAAACUUUAAAUAUGUAAGAAGCCCUUGUUACUUUAUUGAACGUGGGCCUACGGAUACGCGACACUAGUGGGCCAUU